rnacentral:rRNA from 1 species
CCUACGGGUGGCAGCAGUGGGGAAUAUUGCACAAUGGGGGAAACCCUGAUGCAGCGACGCCGCGUGAGUGAAGAAGUCAUUCGUUAUGUAAAGCUCUAUCAGCAGGGAAGAAAAUGACGGUACAUGAGUUGGAAGCCACGGCUAACUACGUGCCAGCAGCCGCGGUAAUACGUUGGGGGCAAGCGUUAUCCGGAUUUACUGGGUGUAAAGGGAGCGUAGACGGCAGUGCCUGUCGGGAGGGAAGGGCGGGGGCUCAACCCCCGGACUGCUCUGGAAACGGUACGGCUGGAGUGCAGGAGAGGUAAGUGGAAUUCCUAGUGUAGCGGUGAAAUGCGUAGAUAUUAGGAGGAACACCAGUGGCGAAGGCGGCUUACUGGACUGUAACUGACGUUGAGGCUCGAAAGCGUGGGGAGCAAACAGGAUUAGAUACCCCUGUAGUC